rnacentral:ncRNA from 1 species
GUGAAGUUUGAUCUUAUCUUUAUUAGUUUGCGUUCAGUUGGUUGAACAUGUGAGUUUUUGUGUGAUUUAAUUUUCUCUGAAUGGGUGGAUUAAUUUAAUUUAAUUUAUUCUCAGUUUUUUAUUUUAUUUUUUUAGGCAACUAAGAAUUAGCUGAAUUGUUCAGUUCUGACAAAGUUUGUGCCAGCAGUCGCGGUUAUACAAUAAGAGCAAGUGAAUUCUUUCGGGGGCAGCAUUUAAAAUUUAAUUUUUGGUCUGUUUAUCUUUUUAUUGGGUGAAAUCAUAAUUUGGUUGAGGGCUUGAUUUUUUUGAUGUUGAAUGUGAAACUCUGUAGUGAGACUAGGAUUAGAUACCCUAUUAUUAUGGAGUGUGAAUAGGUUCUCUUGGUAUUAUUAGUUAUGGUCUUUAAAUUAAAAAGAUUUGGCGGUAAUUUAGUCUUUUCAGAGGAAUCUGCCCUGUAAAUGAUGAUCCACGAUGAAUUUCACCUUAUUUUAGCUUGUAUACCUCUGUCAUUGAAUGUCUUAUUAGGGUAAUUUUCUUUAAUUCUUAUGGAGUUAAUGUCAAGUCAAGGUGCAGCAGUAUUAAGGAAGAGGUGGAUUACAAUGAAAUUAUUUCUGGAUGGCAAGUUGUAAUACUUGCUUGAAAUUGGAUUUGAAAGUAAUUUUUAUUAGUAUAUAAUUUUGAUUAAGGCUCUAGGUUAUGUACACAUCGCCCGUCACUCUCAUUAUUUAAAAUGAGAUAAGUCGUAACAAAGUAGGCCUACCGGAAGGUGGGCCUGGGAAGUU